GUUGUCUCUCUUGAGUGGAUCCUGAGUACGACGGAGCACGUGAAAUUCCGUCGGAAUCUGGGAGGACCAUCUCCUAAGGCUAAAUACUCUCUAGUGACCGAUAGUGAACCAGUACCGUGAGGGAAAGGUGAAAAGCACCCCGGAAGGGGAGUGAAAUAGAACCUGAAACCGUGUGCUUACAAGUAGUCAGAGCCCGUUAAUGGGUGAUGGCGUGCCUUUUGUAGAAUGAACCGGCGAGUUACGAUUUGAUGCAAGGUUAAGCAGUAAAUGUGGAGCCGUAGCGAAAGCGAGUCUGAAUAGGGCGUUUAGUAUUUGGUCGUAGAC
rnacentral:rRNA from 1 species